rnacentral:tRNA from 1 species
GGAGAGGUGUGUGAGUGGUUGAAACAACCGGUCUCGAAAACCGGUGUACCCUAACGGGUACCGUGGGUUCGAACCCCACCCUCUCCGCCA